UAUGAGUGCAUUCUUGUCGUCAGCCUGUGGUAGAAAAGACAGGACCUGAACCGCACUGUGUUGGGUAUCCUUGAUCAUGGUAGCUUAAGACCUUACUGCUACAUUCCAGUAUGUGUACGAAAAGACAGGAUAUGAACUGCACAGGUGAACUUUAUACAGGAUAGUACCCGCUUGUUUGACAAUUAUGUUAUCCUAUAAUGAAUUAACCACGUACAAAAUUUUAAUUUAGAGAACUUUAAUGGCUUUGGCUGCUUUAUCCAAGAGUCAACUAUUGGACAAGUGGGGAUCAUCAGAGUUGCGGCUAGAGAGAGAGAAAAGAAAGGAAGGAUUGCAUUCUAUGCAUACCUGAUUGUUACUAUAGUGGGGGGCAAGCUCACUCGAAUUAGACCAAUAAAAGGUUACACUUUGUCACCCUAUUUAACAGGGGGCUGAACUCGAACUUAUGUGGACUGUCUGCCAAACGGAAGGUGUAAAUUGUCUGCUGUCUCAGAAUUGCAGUCAAAACUCUUCAGCAGCAGAUGCUGUGGCUGCCCAUGGCCUUCGGUCAUCCGCCACAAAGAACAUCAUUCAAUAAGCUCAAAGUGUUCCUCAUCCCUGCAAUACAAAGACUAUCUGAAAUAAACAAAUUGUACGUCUUCAGCUUCAUGUUUUCUAUUCUAGUAAAACUGCUAUAGCUUGGAUGUUAUUAAAGAGUUACGUGAAUAUUGUACCGCAAGACAAUGCAAGGCAUGUCAAGUAGUUAAUAAAUUUAGUAAUUACUGACGUGUACCCACUUUGAGUUUAUCAAUAUACACAUUUAUAUA